rnacentral:rRNA from 1 species
CCUACGGGAGGCAGCAGUGGGGAAUCUUGCGCAAUGGGCGAAAGCCUGACGCAGCAACGCCGCGUGGGUGAUGAAGGUCUUCGGAUUGUAAAACCCUGUCGUUAGGGACGAAGACAUGAAUCCUAAUACGAUUCAUGUUUGACGGUACCUAGAAAGGAAGCCCCGGCUAACUCUGUGCCAGCAGCCGCGGUAAUACAGAGGGGGCAAGCGUUAUUCGGAAUUAUUGGGCGUAAAGGGUGCGUAGGCGGUUUUCUAAGUCAGAUGUGUAAUCCCCGAGCUCAACUUGGGAACUGCAUCUGAAACUGGGAGACUAGAGUACUGGAGAGGAUGGUGGAAUUCCACGUGUAGCGGUAAAAUGCGUAGAGAUGUGGAGGAACACCAGUGGCGAAGGCGGCCAUCUGGACAGUAACUGACGCUGAAGCACGAAAGUGUGGGUAGCAAACAGGAUUAGAUACCCUGGUAGUCCACACCGUAAACGAUGAACACUUGGUGUAGUGGGAGUUGACCCCCACUGUGCCGUAGCUAACGCGANAAGUGUUCCGCCUGGGGAUACGGUCGCAAGGCUGAAACUCGAAAUGAAUUGACGGCUGAGACGAGCGAGGACGACGACGAGGGAGGAGG